UUUGCUCACACUCUAGCCUGUUCAAAGGCGGAUCCUAACGACGUCAGCAAGCUGUCGUCACCAGGAUACCAAUGAGAAGCCAGGUGGAACAGCCCUAAAGGUAUUCGUUGCAACCCUCAAUCCCGAACACCACAUUCCGCUAAAGGUUAUAACACUCCCGAAGGAGCCACAUCCCUCCAGCCUUUUUAUGACGUUCGAAAUUGAUGUUAACCAGCGGACACGAAAGUGCUCCAUUUCACCAAGAGUUCACGCUUCGGGACGGUUUUGAAGCUCGCCACGUCAUGUGAUC
rnacentral:rRNA from 1 species